rnacentral:rRNA from 1 species
UACGUAGGCAGCGAGCGUUGUUCGGAGUUACUGGGCGUAAAGGGUGUGUAGGCGGUUGUUUUAAGUUUGGUGUGAAAUCUCCCGGCUCAACUGGGAGGGUGCGCCGAAUACUGAAUGACUUGGAGUGCGGGAGAGGUGAGUGGAAUUCCUGGUGUAGCGGUGAAAUGCGCAGAUAUCAGGAGGAACACCGGUGGCGAAGGCGGGUCUCUGGGCCGAUACUGACGUGAGGAGCGAAAGCGUGGGGAGCGAACAGG